AUACGGAGGGUCCAAGCGUUAUCCGGAUUCAUUGGGGUUAAAGGGUCCGCAGGCGGGAAAAUAAGUCAGUGGUGAAAGCCUACAGCUCAACUGUAGAACUGCCAUUGAUACUGUUUUUCUUGAGUAUAGAUGAAGUGGGCGGAAUAUAUCAUGUAGCGGUGAAAUGCAUAGAUAUGAUAUAGAACACCGAUUGCGAAGGCAGCUCACUAAACUAUUACUGACGCUCAGGGACGAAAGCGUGGGGAGCAAACAGGAUUAGAUACCCGAGUAGUCC
rnacentral:rRNA from 1 species